rnacentral:rRNA from 1 species
UACGUAGGGGGCUAGCGUUAUCCGGAAUUACUGGGCGUAAAGGGUGCGUAGGUGGUUUCUUAAGUCAGAGGUGAAAGGCUACGGCUCAACCGUAGUAAGCCUUUGAAACUGGGGAACUUGAGUGCAGAAGAGGAGAGUGGAAUUCCUAGUGUAGCGGUGAAAUGCGUAGAUAUUAGGAGGAACACCAGUUGCGAAGGCGGCUUACUGGACGGCAACUGACGCUGAGGCUCGAAAGCGUGGGGAGCAAACAGG